rnacentral:rRNA from 1 species
UACGGAAGGCAGCAGUGGGGAAUAUUGCACAAUGGGCGCAAGCCUGAUGCAGCCAUGCCGCGUGUAUGAAGAAGGCCUUCGGGUUGUAAAGUACUUUCAGUCGUGAGGAAGGUGUUAAGGUUAAUAACCUUAGCAAUUGACGUUAGCGACAGAAGAAGCACCGGCUAACUCCGUGCCAGCAGCCGCGGUAAUACGGAGGGUGCGAGCGUUAAAUCGGAAUUACUGGGCGUAAAGGGCACGCAGGCGGUUAAUUAAGUUGGAUGUGAAAUCCCCGGGCUUAACCUGGGAAUGGCAUUCAAGACUGGUUAGCUAGAGUCUUGUAGAGGGGGUAGAAAUUCCAUGUGUAGCGGUGAAAAUGCGUAGAGAUGUGGAGGAAAUACCGGUGGCGAAAGGCGGCCCCUGGACAAAAGACUGACGCUCAUGUGCGAAAAGCGUGGGGAGCAAAACAGGGAUUAAAUACC